rnacentral:rRNA from 1 species
GGGUUGUGAGGUUAAGCGACUAAGCGUACACGGUGGAUGCCCUGGCAGUCAGAGGCGAUGAAGGACGUGCUAAUCUGCGAUAAGCGUCGGUGAGGUGAUAUGAACCGUUAUAACCGGCGAUUUCCGAAUGGGGAAACCCAGUGUGUUUCGACACACUAUCAUUAACUGAAUCCAUAGGUUAAUGAGGCGAACCGGGGGAACUGAAACAUCUAAGUACCCCGAGGAAAAGAAAUCAACCGAGAUUCCCCCAGUAGCGGCGAGCGAACGGGGAGGAGCCCAGAGCCUGAAUCAGUGUGUGUGUUAGUGGAAGCGUCUGGAAAGGCGUGCGAUACAGGGUGACAGCCCCGUACACAAAAAUGCACAUAUUGUGAGCUCGAUGAGUAGGGCGGGACA